AUUGAACGCUGGCGGCAGGCCUAACACAUGCAAGUCGAGCGAGCGGCGGACGGGUGAGUACUGUCUGGGAAACUGCCUGAUGGAGGGGGAUAACUACUGGAAACGGUAGCUAAUACCGCAUACCAUCAGAUGUGCCCAGAUGGGAGUAGCUAGUAGGUGGGGUAACGGCUCACCUAGGCGACGAUCCCUAGCUGGUCUGAGAGGAUGCCCCGCCACACUGGAACUGAGACACGGUCUAGACUCCUACGUGAGGCAGCAGUGGGGAAUAUUGCACAAUUGGCGCAAGCCGGAUGCAGCCAUGCCGCGGGUAUGAAGAAGUCCUUCGGGUUGUAAAGUACUUUCAGCGGGGAGGCGUUACCCGAAGAAGAAGCACCGGCUAACUCCGUGCCAGCAGCCGCGGUAAUUC
rnacentral:rRNA from 1 species